UAUUCUGCCCCACGGGGAAGGAUGAGAAGCUUCGACCAAGGUUCGACUCGAGCGAAGCGAGAGAACGUUGCCGCAGGCAACGGCCCGAAGGGCGAAGCGCUUUAGCGCCGAGUAAUUCUUCCCCCACCACUG
rnacentral:sRNA from 1 species